rnacentral:rRNA from 1 species
GUGGGGAAUCUUGCGCAAUGGGCGAAAGCCUGACGCAGCCAUGCCGCGUGGAUGAUGAAGGUCUUAGGAUUGUAAAAUCCUUUCACCGGUGAAGAUAAUGACUGUAGCCGGAGAAGAAGCCCCGGCUAACUUCGUGCCAGCAGCCGCGGGAAUACGAAGGGGGCUAGCGUUGCUCGGAUUUACUGGGCGUAAAGGGCGCGUAGGCGGACAUUUAAGUCAGGGGUGAAAUCCCGGGGCUCAACCUCGGAACUGCCUUUGAUACUGGGUGUCUUGAGUAUGAGAGAGGUGUGUGGAACUCCGAGUGUAGAGGUGAAAUUCGUAGAUAGUCGGAAGAACACCAGUGGCGAAGGCGACACACUGGCUCAUUACUGACGCUGAGGCGCGAAAGCGUGGGGAGCAAACAGGAUUAGAUACCCCUGUAGUCC